rnacentral:rRNA from 1 species
AGUGAACGCUGGCGGUAGGCCUAACACAUGCAAGUCGAACGGCAGCACAGUAAGAGCUUGCUCUUACGGGUGGCGAGUGGCGGACGGGUGAGGAAUACAUCGGAAUCUACUUUUUCGUGGGGGAUAACGUAGGGAAACUUACGCUAAUACCGCAUACGACCUACGGGUGAAAGCAGGGGAUCUUCGGACCUUGCGCGAUUGAAUGAGCAGAUGUCGGAUUAGCUAGUUGGCGGGGUAAAGGCCCACCAAGGCGACGAUCCGUAGCUGGUCUGAGAGGAUGAUCAGCCACACUGGAACUGAGACACGGUCCAGACUCCUACGGGAGGCAGCAGUGGGGAAUAUUGGACAAUGGGCGCAAGCCUGAUCCAGCCAUACCGCGUGGGUGAAGAAGGCCUUCGGGUUGUAAAGCCCUUUUGUUGGGAAAGAAAAGCAGCAGGUUAAUACCCCGCUGUUCUGACGGUACCCAAAGAAUAAGCACCGGCUAACUUCGUG